ACUGCAGACCCCCCACCCCAUCGGAAGUGGGAUCCUCAUUUUCACAAGCUCCCUGGCAGAACAGGUCCUGGAGUGCCCUCUUGCCUCCCCCAGACAGCUGUGCAGGUGCGAGGUGGCUGGAACAUGGAUGCCAAGGGCUGAGCACUCCCUGGCCGCACUGCAGGCACUUCACCGUGAACUUGCUUAUUAACUGGAGUGUAACCCUUCCCCACCAGACUGCAAGCUCCAUGAAGACAGGGCAUUGAUUCAGUCACAGCUGAAUCAUCAGGGCCUCCGACAGGACCUGGACCAGA